GGCACCAGAGAAGCAGACGAUGGCCGAGGAGCAGGAAGUCCAGUUGCAGAUGCUGCAGCAGGUCCGCGGAAUCGCUGGGCUGAGGGGCUUCUGCUGCUGUCUCUUGGUGGGUCGGCUUGUUUCGUGGUGCUGGGGACGGACCCCAGGGCUGCAGCCUGCCGUGGACACCCUCCCACCCAGCUGCACCCAGCCCAGGUCUCAGAAUCAGGUGGACGGACGUCCCUGCAAGGCCACCCACGUCUUCUCCACCUCUGUGUGUAAGGACCUUCUCAGAAGUCAUUUCAGCCCAGCACAGGGAGAAUCAGACCCCGGGAAUCGCCCAGGCAAUGGGGAACAGGAGUGCCGGUGUGGCCAGCGUCUCCCCCACUGUGCCCCAAAGACCCGACAAGAACCAUGUUAGAUGAGAAAAAGUUGAUUUGGGGCUCACGGUUCAGAGGUCUCAGUCCAAGGUUGGUGGCUCCACAGCUCUGGCCCAAGGACAGCCCAGUGACCACCUCCUCCAGCCACACCCACCUGCCCGGGUACCACCCAGAGGAUCCUACCAGUGGGUUAGUGCUCUGACCAGGUGUGCCGUCUUUCUGAAGGAAGACUUGGGGCCACCCUGAACACCCUGAGUGCUGGUGCAGCCUGUCCUCAGCAAUGCUCCUGACUCCAGGGGCACUCCCUUCCCCCAUCCUGUUCCCUCCUGUGGCCCCCCAAUGCCACCUCUGCGCACAGCCUCGUCGGGGCUCCUGCUUUCCCAGUGACCCGCAGUGAGACAGGACUGGUGACGUCUGGGGUGUGCAAUGACAUGGUCCCUCGCUAGCUGCUCAGCGUGACCAGUCCAGUGCCUCUUGGGCUUUGUGCAUUUAGUCAUCCGCUCACUACUCAGCAGCCAUGAAGCAUGUCCACCUGUGGCCAUCUCAGAAGAAGAAAAGGUAAAGUUAAGCCGGGCAGAUACGUCCUCUGCCCUCCUGGAAGGCCUAGUGUCAUGGGAAAAGCCAAUUAAUGAAACGUUGGCACAACUGGCUCUAAACCUGGAGCGGCGCAGUCUCGGGAGGGAAGCGUGUGAAGCAGCAGGGCAGGCUGAGAUGAGCGGCCUCUUUGUGGAGGGAAGACGAGGCCUGGGAGAGACCUCGGUGGCCCCUUGGCUUCAUCUGCAUGGAGCCGUGGUCUGGGGAGAGGGUGGAGCCACAUGAACCAAGGUCUUCAAAUGAGUGGACCCCGACCUGGGAGGAAAUAAAGGGUCCCAGAAGGGCUUGGCUAACGGAGCCCGGCGUGCCUCACCCUGGGAUCAGGUUGCCCAGGUGCUCAGUUCACUGCCUGGUGGGAGGAAUGACCACGGGCCGUUGACAGCUGGGACAGGAGCCUUCCGGAGCUCACGCCAGCCCGUCUCCCUUGGCCAGCACUUUGGGUGAUGGAAGGAAAGAGGACUCCCAGCUCUGACCCCAAGGGGCUUCUCCAGGGCAAGCA